rnacentral:rRNA from 1 species
GACGAACGCUGGCGGCGUGCCUAAUACAUGCAAGUCGAGCGGACUGAAUGGGAGCUUGCUCUUGUUCGGUCAGCGGCGGACGGGUGAGUAACACGUGGGCAACCUGCCCGCAAGACCGGGAUAACUCCGGGAAACCGGAGCUAAUACCUGAUAACACCGAAGACCGCAUGGUCUUUGGUUGAAAGGCGGCGCAAGCUGCCACUUGCGGAUGGGCCCGCGGCGCAUUAGCUAGUUGGUGAGGUAACGGCUCACCAAGGCGACGAUGCGUAGCCGGCCUGAGAGGGUGGCCGGCCACACUGGGACUGAGACACGGCCCAGACGCCUACGGGAGGCAGCAGUAGGGAAUCUUCCGCAAUGGGCGAAAGCCUGACGGAGCGACGCCGCGUGAGCGAAGAAGGCCUUCGGGUCGUAAAGCUCUGUUGUGAGGGACGAAGGAGCGCCGUUUGAAGAAGGCGGCGCGGUGACGGUACCUCACGAGGAAGCCCCGGCUAACUACGUG